UAGACAGCACACACAAACGCCCAAA
rnacentral:piRNA from 1 species